GCGAACGGCGGUGGAGUGGCCGGGGUAAGACGUAGGGGGAGAGCGGUGGCGGGAGUUAUUGGGCGGAAAGGGCGUGUAGGCGGCCAAGCAGGUCCGCGGUGAAAACUGGAGGCUCAACCUCGAGAAGUCGGUGGAAACCGUUUGGGUAGAGUCCGGAAGAGGAGAGUGGAAUUCCCGGGGUAGCGGUGAAAUGCGCAGAUAUCGGGAAGAACACCCGUGGCGAAGGCGGCUCUCUGGGACGGUACUGACGCUGAGACGCGAAAGCGUGGGGAGCGAACAGGAUUAGAUACCCCAGUAGUC
rnacentral:rRNA from 1 species